GAGUGCCGCCGGAGUGCCGCAGAUGUGCGGGCCGAUGAAAGGCGGUUCCCCGGCUUUU
rnacentral:snoRNA from 1 species